UGGGGAAUAUUGCACAAUGGGCGAAAGCCUGAUGCAGCAACGCCGCGUGAGUGAUGAAGGCCUUCGGGUUGUAAAGCUCUGUCCUUUGGGACGAUAAUGACGGUACCAAAGGAGGAAGCCACGGCUAACUACGUGCCAGCAGCCGCGGUAAUACGUAGGUGGCGAGCGUUGUCCGGAUUUACUGGGCGUAAAGGAUGCGUAGGCGGAUGUUUAAGUGAGAUGUGAAAUACCCGGGCUUAACUUGGGUGCUGCAUUUCAAACUGGAUAUCUAGAGUGCGGGAGAGGAGAAUGGAAUUCCUAGUGUAGCGGUGAAAUGCGUAGAGAUUAGGAAGAACACCAGUGGCGAAGGCGACUUUCUGGACCGUAACUGACGCUGAGGCAUGAAAGCGUGGGGAGCAAACA
rnacentral:rRNA from 1 species